GCCUGGGUGGCUCAGUCAAUCAAGCGUCUGACUUUGGCUCAUGAUCUCAUGGUUUGCAGGUUCGAGCCCUGCAUCAGGCU
rnacentral:tRNA from 1 species